rnacentral:rRNA from 1 species
GGGCCCGCACAAGCGGAGGAGCAUGUGGUUUAAUUCGAUGAUACGCGAGGAACCUUACCAGGGCUUAAAUGGGAGACGACAGGACUGGAAACAGUUUUUUCUUCGGACGUCUUUCAAGGUGCUGCAUGGUUGUCGUCAGCUCGUGCCGUGAGGUGUCAGGUUAAGUCCUAUAACGAGCGCAACCCCUAUUGUUAGUUGCCAGCGGGUCAUGCCGGGAACUCUAACAAGACUGCCGGUGCAAACCGUGAGGAAGGUGGGGAUGACGUCAAAUCAUCACGGCCCUUACGUCCUGGGCUACACACGUGCUACAAUGGACGGUACAGAGAGCAGCCACCACGCAAGUGGGCGCGAAUCUUCAAAGCCGUUCUCAGUUCGGAUCGGAGUCUGCAACUCGACUCCGUGAAGCUGGAUUCGCUAGUAAUCGCAUAUCAGCCAUGAUGCGGUGAAUACGUUCCCGGGCCUU